UGCAAGCCAAUACAGGCAGGGGUCAACUUAUGGCAAGUUACAAGUGGGCAGCAAACACAUGCUGUCAACCUGGAACUUGAGACUUGUGGAUGCAGGAAGUGGGACCUUAGUGGCAUACCUUGCAACCAUGCCAUCUCUGCAAUAAACAAGGCUAAAAGGAAACCAGAGGAUUAUGUCAGCAAAUUCUUCAAGAAAGAUUUUUAUGUUGCAGCUUAUGAACCAAUGAUCUUUCCUGUGCCUGGUGAGCAUGAUUGGACAAGGACCCCUGGUCCAGACAUAGAACCACCUGCAUUCAAAAUCAAGAGAGGAAGAAAGAAAGAAAAGAGGAUCAAGGGCAAAUUUGAAGUACCAAAGCCAAAAGACACUUCAAGAAUGGGGACCAUAACAUGUGGCAAUUGUGGUCUCCAAGGGCAUAGGCUACUCCAAGUAACUCACAACCAAGAGCUGCUAGUCCUUCUACUACAACAACAGCAAGACAGCCAAGAGCUGCUGCCAGAGGAGCUGGCAGAGGAAGAGGAGCUGCUACUUCUACUACACCACCACCAUCUGGAAGAGGAGCUGGCAGAGGAAGAGGAGCUGCUACUUCUACUACACCACCACCAUCUGGAAGAGGAGCUGGCAGAGGAAGAGGAGCUGGAAGAGGUGCUCCAAGGCCAUUCAGUGCCCCUAGGCAAUAUGCUGACAUUCCUGCUGAUGGUACACACACUGGAUGGAUGUCCUACUUCACUGCUAGCAGAGGAAGAGGAGCCAUGUGGUUAUCUGAAUGUUGAAUAUGUUGCUACUGGAUAUGGGUUAUUGAAUGCAGUGAAUGCUGUGUUUCCAAAUUGCAACCAAAGAUUCUGCCUUAGGCAUUUAUAUGCAAAUUUCCAAAAUGCUGGGUUUAGGGGUGAAGAUCUUAAGAAGUGCAUGGAUAAUGCUAGCUAUGCCUACAAUGAACACAAAUUUAAUAUUGCAAUGAAUGAUCUUAGAGCUGAAAGUGAGGAAGCUUGGGAGUGGCUUACUGCAAUACCAAAAAAAACAUGGGCAAGGCAUGCAUUUGACACAAACUGCAAGACUGACUUGGUAGUGAACAACUUGUCUGAGGUGUUCAACAAGUACAUUCUAGAUGUUAGGAGAAAACCUAUAAGGACAAUGUGUGAUGGGAUAAUAGAUAAGCAGAUGGUGAGGUGGCAUAGGAACAGAGAGAGUGUAAAGGCAGCAAGAUGGGAUAUAACACCUCAUUACAGUGAGAAGCUAGAGGUUGAGAAGGAGAGGGCCAGAUAUUGCAAGCCAAUACAGGCAGGGGUCAACUUAUGGCAAGUUACAAGUGGGCAGCAAACACAUGCUGUCAACCUGGAACUUGAGACUUGUGGAUGCAGGAAGUGGGACCUUAGUGGCAUACCUUGCAACCAUGCCAUCUCUGCAAUAAACAAGGCUAAAAGGAAACCAGAGGAUUAUGACCCCUGGUCCAGACAUAGAACCACCUGCAUUCAAAAUCAAGAGAGGAAGAAAGAAAGAAAAGAGGAUCAAGGGCAAAUUUGA
rnacentral:rRNA from 1 species